rnacentral:rRNA from 1 species
AUGCCGUCAGACAUAGGAAGCUCAAAGAACGGGGCUUUCAAAUAUCUUAAGGAUCAGCUCUGGAGCAAGGUUCAAGGUUGGAUUGAGCGAACUAUGUCUUUGGCUGGCAAGGAAGUUCUUGUCAAAGCUGUUGCACAGGCUGUACCGGUGUUCUCCAUGUCAUGUUUCAAGCUACCUAGAGGCCCGUGUGAACAUUUAAACAUGCUCAUUCGGAAGUUUUGGUGGGGUGCAAAAGAUGGAAAUCGUAAACCUCAUUGGGUUUCUUGGAAAACGUUGACACAACCCAAGGGUAUGGGAGGUCUCGGGUUCAAAGAUUUUGAACUCUUCAAUCUGUCCAUGCUCGCUAGGCAGGCAUGGCGCUUGUUGCAAGACCCCGAGUCGUUGAGUGCUUGA